CAUGGUCUAGCUAGUCUAAUCAAGCAAAUGACUUUUAGUUUGCCCCCCCGAAACUAAGUGAGCUACUUUAAAAUAGCCCAGAGCUAACCCGUCUCUGUCGCAGAAGAGUGGGAAGAUUUUUAAGUAGAGGUGACAGACCUAUCGAACUUAGAGAUAGCUGGUUUUUUAAGAAAAGAAUUUUAGUUCUACUUUAAAUUUCAAAAUUUAAAAGUUAUUCAAAUAAGGCACAGCUUAUUUGAAAUAGGAUACAACCUAAAGCUUAGGGUAAGAUCAAGUGGGCCUAAAAGCAGCCAUCUUUAAAAAGCGUCAAAGCUUAAUACCUGCCUACACUUCUAACCCUUAUAUGUUAUUAAAAAACUCCAUAAAAUAUGGAAGCUAUUAUGCUAGAACAAGUAACAAGAACUUUCUCCAAAAUGCAAGCUUAAGCCACAAUAGACACCCUAAUGGCAAUUAACGUUUGUAAGCCCCUUGUAAUAACCAGAAAACUUUACACCUCUUACGUCAAUCUUACACCAGCACAUUAAUGGAAAGAUUAAAAGAACGGGAAGGAACUCGGCAAAUAUUGAUCCCGCCG
rnacentral:rRNA from 1 species